GUACGUUUCACUCGGUAACUGUACCACGUGGUGCUGUUGCCAGAGGAAACGGGUGUGACUAUUGAAUAAGAACGCGUGCAUAGUAUUCGUUGUCAACGACGUUCCAUUGAUAAGUAUGGGCGCGUCAGAGUCAACGAUUUCGGAUCCCUUAGGUUGUAUGGUAAAGAAUUUUAAAAAGGGAUUCAAAACAUGUGAUUUUGGGGUUAAAAU